rnacentral:rRNA from 1 species
GAUUAUGGCUCAGGAUGAACGCUAGCUACAGGCUUAACACAUGCAAGUCGAGGGCAGCAUGGAGUUGCUUGCAAACUCUGAUGGCGACCGGCGCACGGGUGAGUAACGCGUAUCCAACCUUCCCUAUACUAGAGGAUAGCCCGGCGAAAGUCGGAUUAAUACUCUAUGUUCUUCGUAGAAGACAUCUGAAAUGAAGCAAAGGUUUACCGGUAUAGGAUGGGGAUGCGUCUGAUUAGGUUGUUGGCGGGUAACGGCCCACCAAGCCCACGAUCAGUAGGGGUUCUGAGAGGAAGGUCCCCCACAUUGGAACUGAGACACGGUCCAAACUCCUACGGGAGGCAGCAGUGAGGAAUAUUGGUCAAUGGACGAGAGUCUGAACCAGCCAAGUAGCGUGCAGGAUGACGGCCCUAUGGGUUGUAAACUGCUUUUAUACAGGGAUAAAGUUCACUACGUGUAGUGUUUUGUAGGUACUGUAUGAAUAAGGACCGGCUAAUUCCGUGCCAGCAGCUGC